rnacentral:misc_RNA from 1 species
GAUGAAGAACGUAGCGAAACGCGAUAAGUAAUGUGAAUUGCAGAAUCCAGUGAAUCAACGAAUCUUUGAACGCACAUUGCGCCCGCCAGCAUUCUGGCGGGCAUGCCUGUUCGAGUGUCAUUUCAACCCUCGACCUCCCCUUGGGGAGGUCGGCGUUGGGGACCGGCAGCACACCGCCGGCCCUGAAAUGGAGUGGCGGCCCGUCCGCGGCGACCUCUGCGCAGUAAUACAGCUCGCACCGGGACCCCGACGCGGCCACGCCGUAAAACACCCAACUUCUGAACGUUGACCUCGAAUCAGGUAGGACUACCCGCUGAACUUAAGCAUAUCAAUAAGCGGAGGA